rnacentral:rRNA from 1 species
UACGUAGGGUGCGAGCGUUGUCCGGAAUUAUUGGGCGUAAAGAGCUUGUAGGCGGUUUGUCGCGUCUGCCGUGAAAACCCGAGGCUCAACCUCGGGCGUGCGGUGGGUACGGGCAGGCUGGAGUGUGGUAGGGGAGACUGGAACUCCUGGUGUAGCGGUGAAAUGCGCAGAUAUCAGGAAGAACACCGAUGGCGAAGGCAGGUCUCUGGGCCAUUACUGACACUGAGGAGCGAAAGCAUGGGUAGCGAACAGGAUUAGAUACCCCUGUA